GAUGAACGCUGGCGGCGUGCUUAACACAUGCAAGUCGAGCGAACAGACGAGGAGUUUGCCCCUCUGACGUUAGCGGCGGACGGGUGAGUCACAUGUGUAUCACCUCCCUAUCAGUCUGAGAUAACUUCGGGAAACCGGCGCUAACUCCGGACAAUAUACUGAACCGCAUGGUUCAAUAGUGAAAGACGGUUUUUCUGUCACUUAUAGAUGGCUCCGCGCCGCAUUAGCUAGUUGGUAAGGUAACGACCUACCAAGGCAACGAAGGGUAGCCGACCUGACAGGGUGGUCGGCGACACUGGAAGUGGAACACGGUCACGACGCCUACGAGAGGCAGCAGUAGGGAAUGUUCCGCAAUGGGCGGGAGCCUGACGGAGCGACGCCGCGCGAGAGGUGGAGAUGCUCCGUUCGUGAUACUCGGUUAUGAGGGAAAAACAAAUGUGUGCAGGAAAGAAGAGAACGUGACGGUACCUAAAGAGAAAGCAACGGCUAACUACGUG
rnacentral:rRNA from 1 species